rnacentral:rRNA from 1 species
AGAAUCAACGCUGGCGGCGUGCCUAACACAUGCAAGUCGAACGAGAAAGGGUAGCAAUACCUGAGUAAAGUGGCGCACGGGUGAGUAACACGUGACUAACCUACCUUUAGUGGGGGAUAACCUAGGGAAACCUGGGCUAAUACCGCAUAAUACCUACGGGUCAAAGCAGCAAUGCGCUGGAAGAGGGGGUCGCGGCCGAUUAGCUAGUUGGCGGGGUAAUGGCCCACCAAGGCAGUGAUCGGUA